CCUCCUCUUUUCAAUAUGACGGAUGCCACUGUGUCCUUCGCCAAGGACUCCCUGGCAGGUGGAGUGGCCGCAGCCAUCUCCAAGACGGUGGUAGCACCCAUCGAGUGGGUCAAGCUGCUGCUACAGGUGCAGCAUGCCAGCAAGCAGAUCACUGCAGAUAAGCAAUAUAAGGGCAUUAUAGACUGCAUGGUCUAUAUUCCCAAGGAGCAGGGAGUCCUGUCCUUUUGGUGCAGUAACCUGGUCAAUGUCAUCAGAUACUUCCUCCACCCAGGCUCUUAACUUCGCCUUCAAAGAUAAAUACAAGAGGCUCUUCCUGGGUAGUAUGGACAAAAGGUCCCAGUUUUGGUGCUACUUUGCAGGGAAUCUGGCAUCAGGCGGUACCACUGGGGCCACGUCCUUGUUUUGUGUACCCUCUUGAUUUUGCCCAUACUUGUCUAGCAGCUGAUGUGGGCAAAGCUGGAGCUGAAAGGGAAUUCCAAGUCUUCGGUGACCAACUGGUUAAGAUCUACAGAUCUGAUGAGAUUAAGAGCCUGUACCAAGGCUUUAACACGUAUGUGCAGGGUAUUAUCUAUCGAGCUGCCUGCUGCCUACUUCAGUAUCUAUGACACUGCAAAGGGAAAGCUUCCGGAUCCCAAGGACACUCACAUCGUCAUCAGCUGGAUGAUGCACAGACUGUCACUGCCGUUGCUGGGUUGACUUCCUAUCUAUUUAACACCAUUCACCGCUGCAUGAUGCAGUCAGGACGCAAAGGAACUGACAUCAUGUACACAGGCACACUUGACUGCUGGAGGAAGAUCACUCAUGAUGAAGGAGGCAAAGCUUUUUUCAAGGGUGCAUGGUCCAAUGUUCUCAGAGGCAUGGGUGGUGCUUUUGUGCUUCUCUUGUAUGAUGAAACCAAGAAGUACACGUAAGUUAUUUCCUAGGAUUUUUCCCCCUGUGAACAGGCAUGUUGUAUUAUAUAACAUAUCUUCAGCAUUCUUUUUUUUUUUUUUUUGAGACGGAGUCUCCCUCUAUUGCCCAGGGUGGAGUGCCGUGGCACAAUCUCGGCUCACUGCAACCUCCACCUUUUGGGGUCAAGCAACAUUCCUGACUCAGCCUCCUGAGUAGCUGGGACUACAGGCAUCUGCCACUCCUGGCUUUUUUUUUUUUUUUUUUUUUUUUUUUGUAUUUUUAGUAGAGACAGGGUUUCACCAUAUUGGCCAGGCUGGUCCUGAACUCCUGACCUUGUGAUCCACACGCCUCGGCCUCCCAAAGUGCUGGGAUUACAGACGUGAGCCACCGCACCCAGCUAUCUUCAGCAUUCUUGACAGACUCCUCGCUGUCAAUUUAUCAGUGGCAACUAUUUAUUGGUUGUAAAUGGGAAGCAGUAAUAUUCAUCUGACCAGUUUUCUCUUAAAGCCAUUUCGAUGAUGAUGAUGGUGAUGGGACUCAAUUAUAUUUUUUAUUUCAGUCACUCCUAAUAAAUAACAAAUUUGGAGAAAUAAAAAUGUCUUUAAAAAAAAAGAAAUGGCUUCACACCUUGGAAUGACAAAUGCUCAAAUGGCUCCCAGUAAGUGCGCACGGGGACACCACUGUCAGAGUGGUGAGCAAUCAUCUACCACAAAAUGUAACAAAGCAGCAGAGGUACAUAGGAAGCACGUGAGGACAUACAACCUCUAAGGCCCAUAUAAAUCUGUCAAGAAAACUUUCUGGAGGAAGGAAAGAUAGAAGAAAAGAUCUGGAUAUCAACAUUUGGUAAUGUCUACCUCAAUCUUCCUGACAACUACAUUCAAACCGACCUGGGUAUGCUGGUCCCAAGCACAUUAUCCAGCUUGAGUUUCAAUGCUGGGUAGGAGAAAAGGAAAUUAAGGGCAAGUCAGAGCCCAGAAAGGAGCAU